rnacentral:rRNA from 1 species
GACGAACGCUGGCGGCGUGCUUAACACAUGCAAGUCGAACGGAAAGGCCCUGCUCUUUUUGGUUGCUCGAGUGGCGAAGGGAUGAGUAACACGUGAGUAACCUGCCCUUGACUCUGGUAUAACAUCACGACACUGGGGCGUAUAUCGUAUAGGAGCUCCUGCUUCUGUGUGUUGAUUGGUCAGGUUCGGCGGUUGUGUAUGUACUCGAUGCUUACCAGCCUGUUGGUGGGGUAGUGGCUUUACAAGGCUUCGACGGGGAGCCGGCCUGAGAGGGCGACCGGCCACAUUGGGACUGAGAUACGGCCCAGAAUCCUACGGGAGGCAGCAGUGGGGACUAUUGCGCAGUGGGCGGAAGCCUGAUGCAGCGGCGCCGCGUGCGGGAUGACGGCCUUCGGGUUGUAAACCGCUUUCGCCUGUGACGAAGCGUGGGUGACGGUAAUGGGUAAAGAAGCACCGGCUAACUACGUG